rnacentral:ncRNA from 1 species
GAGAGCUUUUUGUGGGGAAACUUGCAAGUACAGUUUGGGGGGAGACGGGCGUCGACCCAAC